CCUACGGGUGGCAGCAGUGAGGAAUAUUGGUCAAUGGACGAGAGUCUGAACCAGCCAAGUAGCGUGAAGGAUGACUGCCCUAUGGGUUGUAAACUUCUUUUAUAUGGGAAUAAAAUGUUCCCCGUGUGGGAUUUUGUAUGUACCAUAUGAAUAAGGAUCGGCUAAAUCCGUGCCAGCAGCCGCGGUAAUACGGAGGAUCCGAGCGUUAUCCGGAUUUAUUGGGUUUAAAGGGAGCGUAGGUGGAUUGUUAAGUCAGUUGUGAAAGUUUGCGGCUCAACCGUAAAAUUGCAGUUGAAACUGGCAGUCUUGAGUACAGUAGAGGUGGGCGGAAUUCGUGGUGUAGCGGUGAAAUGCUUAGAUAUCACGAAGAACUCCGAUUGCGAAGGCAGUUCACUGGACUGCAACUGACACUGAGGCUCGAAAGUGUGGGUAUCAAACAGGAUUAGAUACCCGGGUAGUC
rnacentral:rRNA from 1 species